GACGAACGCUGGCGGCGUGCCUAAUACAUGCAAGUUGAGCGCUGAAGGUUGGUACUUGUACCAACUGGAUGAGCAGCGAACGGGUGAGUAACGCGUGAGGAAUCUGCCUUUGAGCGGGGGACAACAUUUGGAAACGAAUGCUAAUACCGCAUAAAAACUUUAAACACAAGUUUUAAGUUUGAAAGAUGCAAUUGCAUCACUCAAAGAUGAUCCCGCGUUGUAUUAGCUAGUUGGUGAGGUAAAGGCUCACCAAGGCGAUGAUACAUAGCCGACCUGAGAGGGUGGUCGGCCACAUUGGGACUGAGACACGGCCCAAACUCCUACGGGAGGCAGCAGUAGGGAAUCUUCGGCAAUGGACGAAAGUCUGACCGAGCAACGCCGCGUGAGGGAAGAAGGGUGUCGGAUCGUAAAACUCUGUUGGUAGAGAAGAACGUUGGUGAGAGUGGAAAGCUCAUCAAGUGACGGUAACUACCCAGAAAGGGACGGCUAACUACGUG
rnacentral:rRNA from 1 species